rnacentral:rRNA from 1 species
CGGACGGGUGAGUAAUGUCUGGGAAACUGCCUGAUGGAGGGGGAUAACUACUGGAAACGGUAGCUAAUACCGCAUAACGUCGCAAGACCAAAGAGGGGGACCUUCGGGCCUCUUGCCAUCGGAUGUGCCCAGAUGGGAUUAGCUAGUAGGUGGGGUAACGGCUCACCUAGGCGACGAUCCCUAGCUGGCCUGAGAGGAUGGCCAGCCACACUGGAACUGAGACACGGUCCAG